rnacentral:rRNA from 1 species
UACGUAGGGUGCGAGCGUUAAUCGGAAUUACUGGGCGUAAAGCGUGCGCAGGCGGUUUUGUAAGCCAGAUGUGAAAUCCCCGGGCUUAACCUGGGAAUGGCAUUUGGGACUGCAAGGCUGGAGUUUGGCAGAGGAGACUGGAAUUCCUGGUGUAGCAGUGAAAUGCGUAGAUAUCAGGAGGAACACCGAUGGCGAAGGCAGGUCUCUGGGCUGAAACUGACGCUCAUGCACGAAAGCGUGGGGAGCAAACAGGA